UGGGGAAUAUUGGACAAUGGGGGCAACCCUGAUCCAGCGAUGCCGCGUGAGUGAAGAAGGCCUUCGGGUCGUAAAGCUCUUUAGGUUGGGAAGAAGGGUGUGAGGGUAAUAUCCUUGCACUUUGACGGUACCGACAGAAUAAGCACCGGCAAACUCUGUGCCAGCAGCCGCGGUAAUACAGAGGGUGCGAGCGUUAAUCGGAUUUACUGGGCGUAAAGGGUGCGUAGGCGGUUCUAUGAGUGUGAUGUGAAAGCCCUGGGCUCAACCUAGGAAGUGCAUCGCAAACGAUAGAACUGGAGUAUAUGAGAGGGUGGCGGAAUUUCCGGUGUAGCGGUGAAAUGCGUAGAUAUCGGAAGGAACGUCGAUGGCGAAGGCAGCCACCUGGCAUAAUACUGACGCUGAGGCACGAAAGCGUGGGGAUCAAACAGG
rnacentral:rRNA from 1 species